rnacentral:sRNA from 1 species
GUGUUGGAUCAUUCUUUUUUUCGGUUUUUCUCUAUUUGUUUUGUUAAAAAUGUAUGACUAUAUAACUUUUAGAUUGUGAGGCCAAACUUCGCAUGUGAUACCUUUUCGGAAAGCCCAAAGAGAGCUCUCCAAUGAAUGAGGAAGGAAAUUGGAAUUCUUCUAUUGGUUUUUAUUUCUACUCCAAAUUUUGACCUUAAUGUACUUUUUCGGGCCUUUUCGUGAUCUUCGCUAUAUUACGGGGCGAAACUUAUACGUUUAGACAUUGUAUUCGAAUAUUUUGCAUGUAUCAAAGCUCUUAUAAACAAGAUAGGGUAUUCCUACAUAGCUGGUGGGACCCACGGCAAAUGGAUCAUAAAGUCUUCAAAAAAGAAUAGAUACGAUUGCAUUGCAUGUAGUAACAGAUACGAUUGCAUUGCAUGUAGUAACAGAUACGAUUGCAUUGCAUGUAGUAACAGAUGCGAUCAUACCAGCACUAAUGCACCGGAUCCCAUCAGAACUCUGCAGUUAAGCGUGAUUGGGCGAGAGUACUACUAGGAUGGUUGACCUCCUGGAAAGUCCUUGUGUUAAAUUCUUCUUUUUUUCGGUUUUUCUCUUUUUUUUUUGUUAAGAAUGUAUGAUUCUAUAAGUUUUAGACCGUGAGGCCAAACUUGGCAUGUGAUACCUUUUCGGAAAGCCCAAAGAGAACUCUCCGAUGAAUGAGGAAGGACAAUGGAAUUUUUCUAUUGUUUAUUUUU